ensembl:lncRNA
GUUUUUAGUUUGUUCUUACCGUUUUCACUUCUCAGAAGAGCUGGGGAAGGGUUACAACAGGGGGUGAUGAUGGUAAAACUCACUACAUAAUUUCUGAGUACUGUGGGAGAUACAUCCUCCCAUCAUAACAUUUUUAUGGCAAGUUUAAUGUUCGGCUCAUCUGGAAUAAGCUGUGAGAGCCACACUACAGGAAGCUGUCAGGGUUACUGCCGAUUUUUUAUUCUCUUUGGAGAAGAAGAAAACACAGGCUUCUGUCCUCAGUGGAUUCUGUGAUUUGUGAAGCACUGAAAAAAGAUCAGAUUUCUGCAGAAAAGGAAUAUCCAAUGGGAAACCCAUUUUCUUUUCCAAAUGGGCUAGACUGCAUUUUAUAUGCUACCCCACAUUGUGGGCACUGCAAAAUGGUACCAACCCGAGAAGGCUGCACUGCCCAACCCUUUGCAAGCAGACGAAUGGCAGGGCAAAAAGGUUAUAAAGAUUGUGUGUGCUGAUGUUGUUCUGAACGUCCUGGCAGAGCUGGCUGCCAUAUCUGAUGGGGACGAGCCAGGGCUCCGGAUUCCUCAGCCCUGACCCACGGUGCGCAUCCCACGGGAACGGGGACCGCCUCCCAGGAGCCUCCCACUGCUCUGCCUCAGCUCUGGCUCGCAAAAUCAGGUUCAGGAAGGGCAGGAGAUUGUUCCUGCUUCUAGGUGGUUUCGCCAGAAUUUGUCACCUAUGGAAGCAGAGGUGGGGAAAGUUUCACUCUCAGCGUUUUCAGGAAUUCCCCAGCGAGGUCAUUAAGAAGAAAUCAAGUAGUUUGAAAGACACGAAGGCUUUCUAGGGAAUCCUUGUUUUUGUUACUGCAAUUUUAAUGUCAUUUUCAUAGACUUAUAGAAUAAAUGAGGCUGGAAAACACUUCGGGAGGUCAUCUAGUCCAUCCUCAUUAAGAAUGAGAUUUUGCAUUAGAUGUGGAGCUGGCAAAACCUGCUGGCUGCAGAGUAUCUCCUGUCUUUGUUUAUUGUAGAACACAUACAACUGUGCAAACUGUCCAGCACUGGCCUGUCAAUCCAUUUCUGCUCCAAUCCAACCUGUGGGGCAGAGAGCAGCUCCUUUGUGGUGUUUGGGCUCUCCUCUGUGGUGUUUGGGCUAUGCCAGCACAGCUGCCCAUCAUCAGAGGACCGACUGUUCCACUGGAAGGAAACUGCAAGAGAUGCUCCAAUGCAACUGCUUUGUUGAGGCAGGACCACGAAUCUCAAAGCUGUGUGGGCUUGCUGUGUUUGCAGUGCACACAUUUGUCCCAAAGACCUAAACUGAAGCUGUGGAUGGUGCUCUGGCUGUUUAUAAUGUCCCUUGGAACUUUCAUAGUCAGAUUAUCAACCUGACAAGUGAUUGCUCUUAGCUUGAACUCAGCAUCCCCCUAAAGACCAAAGGAGAAGUCUUUCACUUGAUGUUGGAGGGAAAAAGAAAAUGUUGGGACAGAGCAAGUAAAUAAGCCCAGGGACUUGAGAAGGCAGUAAAAAAAGAUAAGAAUUUAUUAAAUUUAUACUUCAGGUGAGUGCUAGAAAAAGUAUGACAAGAAAAAAAAAUAAGAGAAAAACAAACAAUGAGGAAAAUUGUAUGUAAAAAGAAAUGAAGAUGAUAAGUCGUGUCAAAACCCCAAUUUUCCUCAUGUUUCUUCAAACAAAAAAGAGAUGCUUAGGAGGAUGCAUUGUACUGCAGGGGGUAUUUGUCACUUCUGUGUAUGUAUGAAGGUGUAUAAGGGUGAGAUUUGGUGUGAAGAGCCAGAGGCCAAAGAGCAAAGAAAAACCUGAAACACUCAUCUUCUGUAAUAACCCCAAGUUUCAUUUCUGGUAGUUUGGAUUCUCAAGUUCUAACGUAAUUGCAUUGUUCUCUCUGAAUUCUGGUUUGAGGUCAGCUUCUGAUUCUUGCCAUCUUGUGGUGUGGUGCUGCACUGCGACCAUCCCUCAGCUCCUCUGCCGAUACAGCAGCUGAAAAACAAUGUGCUUUCUUAGGGGUCUCAAAAAAAAAAAAAAAAAAAAAAAAAGACCCUUUCUUUGAUAAUUCCUUUCUAUAAUUUGCAGUAUUUUUCCUGGGUCUAGGCCUUCAUUUAAAUUUUGUUUCUCUCUUUGUUUCCCCAGUUCUUAGAAGGAGUCCAAACUAUUCCCAGUCUGGAGCCUGAGUCUGACAGAAAUUACCUCUCUCCAAAUCUCUUUCUAGCCUGAACUCUUGGGCCAUUUCCUUCUUGCAAAGCCACAGAGUCUCCACACACUUCUAGAAGCUGUUCUUGGAUUUGAAAUACUCCAUCAUAGUCUGCACUUUAUCUCAGACACUCAUUUACCAGAGCUAAGACCAUUUUUUAAAACUAGUGCUUUAAGAGGGAGCUGUACAGUUCAAGCUCCUGUCCUCCCACCUCUUUUAUCUUACCCUUCCACCCUCCCCAGGACUCUAGAUUUUUUAGCAGGAGAUAGUCAAAGGAGAGGUGGCAGACCCCUGGAACCCACAGGCUUUAAAGGGAACCCCUAUACUCUUGCAAUGCUCUUUAUUGCAGCAGUCCACAUCCAGGAGCCAAGCCCCACAGAGUUACCACAGGUGUUUCCUAUUUUUAAUAUCCUAAAUAUCGGGCAUGUGUGCUAUUAGUGACAUGCUUUUAUGCUUCAAGGUGCUGGAAAAUGAUUAAUGUGUAAGAGUGUCUACUGCCAACAUCUGAUCCAAGUUCACUGACUCUCAGUGAAGUGGUUAGGAAAAGUCAUGUCUUGUGCAGUAGUUCUGUCUCAGCAAUCUUCCUCACUGAGAGGUCUCCACGGAAGACAUCUGAGGCUUUGCUGACUCUCAGUUCAUCUCAGACUUUUCCAAUCACAGUAAGAGUUGAAUGAUUUUGACACCGGGGUCCUCUCUCCCAGUUUGCCAGAAUGAUGACUUCAUUCUGGGCUUGAAGAAUUUGGAGGUCAGUCAAAAAGAUGUCUUGCUAACUGGCUUACCUAAGGCUGGCCAGCUGUGGCUCUCCUUGCUAUCUGAUAAGCCUGGGACCCAGUGAGAAAGAGCCAGUGUGUAACAAGUCUGCAGGGGCAGUAGUCCUGCUUAACAGGAUUCCAGUAAUGACUUUAGACUUUAUUUUCCUGAUUAUCUUAUGAGAAGAAAAAAAAUAUCCUCGGUGUCUUAAUUCAUAGACCUGGUUGCAAAAAGAUGUAACAGAGAGAAUAACGAAAUGCAUGAGUUGAAAUUAAAACAAAAAAGAAAUAAUUCCAACUUAAAGUUCAUGUCAAGGUUUCUUUUGUCAAGGUUUCAUUUCUUUGCUUUAAAAAAAAAACAAAAAAAGCCCAAAAUAAAAAUAAAAACCAACCAAACAACAACAAAAAUACCAACAACAAAACCCCAGAAUUGAGAGCCAAGCGGAAGCAUGAACAAAGGCUUCUUUUUUCUAGCAGUUUGAUCAGAAUCCACAAGCUUUAUCCAGAUACGUGAAUUUUGCACCGUUCUGUGUACCUUUAAGAGGAUUUAAGAAAGCUUGUGCUGUUCAUUGUUGAAGGUGGAAUGCAGAAUCAGAGAAUGAAUCAUAGAAUGCUUUGGACUGAAAGAGACCUUCAAGAUCAUCUGGUUCCAACCCCCUGCCAUGGACAGGGACACCUUCCACUAGACCAGGUUUCUUGAUGCCGAAUCCAGACUGGCUUUGAACACUGCCAGGGAUGGAGAAUCCACAACUUCUCUGAGCAACUUAUUCCAGUGCCUCAAAAUAUACUGCGCCUCACAUUGUCUCAUAUGUAAAAAACCCCUUGAGUGCUAGUAGAUGACCUGAGGAGAAUUUGAAGAUGUUUCACCAAUAUUUUUGUUUUCAGGAAAUGUUAUUUUACUUGCAGCUGGUAUGAAUUUCAUCUUUGGUGAGUUUUCCCAUCCUUUUUUAGGAAAAAGUUUGUUACCACCAUUUCUGAGUUAAAAGCUGCAGUGCAACAGCAAAGGACAGCGAGAGC